rnacentral:misc_RNA from 1 species
GAACGCACCUUGCACCCUGUGGCAUUCCACAGGGUAUGCCCGUUUGAGUAUCAUUAAAUCAUCAACUCCAAAACCUUUGUGUUCUUGGUGCUUGGUCUUGAGGGUUAUUGUGGGCUCUUUGUCAGUCUGCUCCCUUUAAAUCUAUUAGCGAGACUUCCCUCUGCCGGAACUUGUGUCUUGACGUGAUAGUCUAUCUGCGUCAAAUUUUAGAGUUCUCAUUGGGCUUGCUUCUAAUCGUCCUGUUUGGACACUCGGAAUUGAGUGCAUUUUUGACACCCUUUUCUAAACCUAUUUUGAUCUCAAAUCGGGUAGGACUACCCGCUGAACUUA